AGACGUCUACAUUAGAUACCCGUGUAGUCCCAGCCGUAAACUAUGCGCGUUAGGUGUAUCGGUGACCACGAGUUACCGAGGUGCCGAAGGGAAACCGUGAAACGUGCCGCCUGGGAAGUACGGUCGCAAGGCUAGAAACUUAAAGGAAGUUGGCGGGGAGCACCACAACAGGUGGAGCCUGCGGUUUAAUUGGACUCAACGCCGGGAAGCUCACCGGAUAGGACAGCAGAAUGAUUGCCGGGCUGAAGACCCUGCAUGACUAGCUG
rnacentral:rRNA from 1 species